GUCGCCAGGUUGGGAAAAGAAAGCAGUGGGGCAUUGAUCAGUUUCUAUUCUACGAUCUCUAAUAUUCUUCUCGGGAUUGGUGCUAAAAGACCUCUUUUCUCCCUAUAAAAUACCCCUUCCCCCUCUUCUAAAACCUACAUCUCCUUCCCCCCUUUCCUAGCCUCCUCUCCGUUUUACAUUUUAUAUAGAUGAUUACAUCUACCAUCUACAAAACCCUAUUAGGGUUAGAUCAGUCCCUUUAAACCAUCGAGCCAUAUAUAUUGGCAUCUUACAAAAAUGGUUUUCUUUGUGUUCUUCCACGGCUUUCUUGAACUGCAUCAUCAUCUCAUCUAUUUCUCAGAUUUAGAUGCUGCAGUUCAAUAAAGCUGUGGGAAGGUACAACGAUAAUCAAUAACAAGCCCAGAUUAUAAUCUUUUAAAUCUGUUAAUUGCUUAGUUUCAUGUCCAAUCACUGAUUAUCUUUCUUGUUUGUUUUUAAAAUUUGCAGAUCUGUAAUAUUAAUUGCAUGCCAGUUGGCCUUAGAUUUGAAGUGUGUAUGCAUGUAAGUAUGCACGGAUAUACAAAGUACACACAGUUUGUGGGAUCACAGUUAUGUCACAAUUUACUUGAUUUGGUGAUAUGUAGCUCCAGCCAUCAGUGUCUGAAUUCAGAGACACAUAGUACAGUAUUAAAUUCUUCUAUGAUGUCAAUUAAAUUAUUUUACAGUAA